rnacentral:precursor_RNA from 15 species
AUAUGAAUGCAAUCAACAGAGACUUGGGCCUUGAUCCUGCCAUGAUCUCUGCAGAAACAAACCCUUGUGGAGCUCAUUGCAGGACUGGGACCUUAGUUUUCAAGUUCUUCCACUGUUGC